GUACCCGCGGCAAGACGGAAAGACCCCGUGAACCUUUACUAUAGCUUGACACUGAACAUUGAGCCUUGAUGUGUAGGAUAGGUGGGAGGCUUUGAAGCGUGGACGCCAGUCUGCGUGGAGCCGACCUUGAAAUACCACCCUUUAAUGUUUGAUGUUCUAACGUGGACCCGUGAUCCGGGUUGCGGACAGUGUCUGGUGGGUAGUUUGACUGGGGCGGUCUCCUCCUAAAGAGUAACGGAGGAGCACGAAGGUUGGCUAAUCCUGGUCGGACAUCAGGAGGUUAGUGCAAUGGCAUAAGCCAGCUUGACUGCGAGCGUGACGGCGCGAGCAGGUGCGAAAGCAGGUCAUAGUGAUCCGGUGGUUCUGAAUGGAAGGGCCAUCGCUCAACGGAUAAAAGGUACUCCGGGGAUAACAGGCUGAUACCGCCCAAGAGUUCAUAUCGACGGCGGUGUUUGGCACCUCGAUGUCGGCUCAUCACAUCCUGGGGCUGAAGUAGGUCCCAAGGGUAUGGCUGUUCGCCAUUUAAAGUGGUACGCGAGCUGGGUUUAGAACGUCGUGAGACAGUUCGGUCCCUAUCUGCCGUGGGCGCUGGAGAACUGAGGGGGGCUGCUCCUAGUACGAGAGGACCGGAGUGGACGCAUCACUGGUGUUCGGGUUGUCAUGCCAAUGGCACUGCCCGGUAGCUAAAUGCGGAAGAGAUAAGUGCUGAAAGCAUCUAAGCACGAAACUUGCCCCGA
rnacentral:rRNA from 1 species